rnacentral:rRNA from 1 species
AUACGGAGGGUCCGAGCGUUAUCCGGGAUUUAUUGGGUUUAAAGGGUGCGUAGGCGGUUUCAUAAGUCAGCGGUGAAAUUUUCCGGCUCAACCGGGAUACUGCCGUUGAUACUGUAAGGCUAGGAUAUGGUUGCUGUGGGUGGAAUGUGUGGUGUAGCGGUGAAAUGCUUAGAGAUCACACAGAAUAUCGAUUGCGAAGGCAGCUCACAAAGCCAUUAUUGACGCUGAGGCACGAAAGUGGUGGGGAUC